AUCCAUAACCUUUUAAAAGUGGCAAAUGAUGCUACUGUUCAAAUAAAUAGUGUUAUGAGUCACAAAACACUGAAAUUCACUGUUCAUAAGGAGGGGCAAUCUCAGCCCUCCAUCUCUGGGGUAACAUCAACCUCACGAUCUUUCUCUCUCUCACUCACUCUCCUCAGUCCUCACCUCUAUGUGACUAUGUGGUGUCAGUUCAACACUUUCAUUCUCUCUCUCCUCUCCUCUCUCCUCUCUCCUCUAAGGAUUAGGGUUUGCUCAACGAAUCUAUGAAACGAUGUCUUAGAAUAAGGAAUUGAUGCGGAAUUCGGAUUAACAAAGCACGAAAAUCGCCGAGUGGGCAAGAUCAGGGUUCAAAAUGGGUCAAAAAUUAGCGGGUUCGUCAUCCUUCUUCUUCGUCUCUUUUGUUCUUCGGGUUUUUCUCCUUUCUGUAUUUGUCUCUAAUUUCUUUCUACAAAUUCAUUCAAUUUCAUCAGGUUAUGAACAACGAACAUGAAAGAAAUGGGUUUAUUUUUCUACAUACAAUUUUGUUUUUUAGUACAUCUAUUUUUCUUUGUUCUGGAUUUUCUUUGAUUAAUUUUUUUUCUUUGUUUUCCUUUGUACUUAGGCUGAAAUAGGUUUUGAAGUUGAAGAUCAACUUCACAUUCAAUGAAUCUCAAGCUUCCUAAAAAGGGCUUUUAGGUUUGGGUUCAGAAUAAUUUGGAAGCUAUAUUUUACAAUUUUAACAAUAUUUCUUGAGGCUCUAAAUGAUGGGUUGGACAAACAAGAAAAAUUGUUGCACCAGAGCUAUACAUGGGAUCUUGAUAGGUUUAAGAGAGAGCUUGUUGCUGCGGAAGCCCUGUGGAGGCAUGGAAAAUGACACUCAUCUUCCCAUUAAUCUCACUUCAUCAGGUUUGCUCAUACUUCUCCUUUUCUAAUUUUCAUUCCACUUCUUAUGCCCUCUUAGUUUCUUUUAAUACCAAUUCUGCUUAAUAAAUGUAUCUUAUAAAUAUGGUACGAACCAAAUACCACAGAUGGGAUAAAAUGCAAGUACAAUGAUCGAUUAAAUUUCAUCCAUUUCUCUCAAAAUUUGAUCUUUUCUGAGUUUGAGAUUGACCCAGUAAACCGAAUUCUUUUUAACACUGAAAUUUACUGUUUAAUUUGAAAUUUUGUGGGUUUGUUGCAACUUACAUGAUCAUUUGAGUUGCAGAAAGCUAUUCCAAUUAGAGUGUUAGUAGUGGGGAAAACAAAAAACGGUCUGAUGUGAUUCAGCUUAUUGUUGAUCAAUAUAAAGAUGAACUUCAGCAUUAUUGUAGUGGUAAGUUGUUGAUAAUGUCUUGGUCUGUUCUAAUUCGAAAACUGCGCGGUAUAUUGUUUUUUCUUUAUAAGAUUUUAGUUUGGCCUUACGGUUGCUUCGUAUUUUUUCUGCUUGAUCAUAAUCUUUUUUUCCUAGGCCUCACUGUUGUAUUUUUGUUUCUAACAAA